rnacentral:misc_RNA from 1 species
UCUCCGUAGGUGAACCUGCGGAGGGAUCAUUACAGAGUUCAUGCCCUCCGGGUAGAUCUCCCACCCAUUGCUAUAACUACUCUCGUUGCCUUGGCGGGCCGCUGGGCCCUGCCCGGCCGCCGGCCCCGGCUGGCGCGUGCCCGCCAGAGACCUCACAAACUCUGAAUGUUAGUGUCGUCCGAGUAACUAUACAAUCGUUAAAACUUUCAACAACGGAUCUCUUGGUUCUG